rnacentral:rRNA from 1 species
GUGGGGAAUCUUGCGCAAUGGGCGAAAGCCUGACGCAGCCAUGCCGCGUGAAUGAUGAAGGUCUUAGGAUUGUAAAAUUCUUUCACCGGGGACGAUAAUGACGGUACCCGGAGAAGAAGCCCCGGCUAACUUCGUGCCAGCAGCCGCGGUAAUACGAAGGGGGCUAGCGUUGCUCGGAAUUACUGGGCGGAAAGGGCGCGUAGGCGGACAGUUUAGUCAGAGGUGAAAGCCCAGGGCUCAACCUUGGAAUUGCCUUUGAUACUGGCUGUCUUGAGUACGGGAGAGGUGAGUGGAACUCCGAGUGUAGAGGUGAAAUUCGUAGAUAUUCGGAAGAACACCAGUGGCGAAGGCGACUCACUGGCCCGUUACUGACGCUGAGGCGCGAAAGCGUGGGGAGCAAACAGGAUUAGAUACCCUAGUAGUCC